UUCCAGGAGAAAUUGCAAUUCCCAAGCUUCCGCAUUGAAAGCUCUUUGAAAGUCUGGGAAGCCUCCAGUCUAAAAAAAGGGGGGGAGUAAGCAAACAUUAAGUGUGAGCAAGCCUGUAGGGUGACGUGGUAGCACAGUGUUCAUACUUCUUGCUCACAUGCCUCUUGAGACCUGGGACAGGGCAUGAAUUGUCAGCCUUCAGUAGCAAUGCAUUUCAAGUUCAAAUUUGUGUAGUUACUCAGGAAGCUGAGGCAAGAGGAUCACUUUGGCCAAGGAGAUUACGGAUAGCCUGGCUAACGAACUAAGACCCCCACCUCACCAAAGAAGGGCAGGAAAGAUGACUCAGUUUGCAGGACCUUGUGGAAGUGAGAAGAUUGUGUCCAGUCAACUGGACCAGGAGCUACAGAUGUUUGUGAGCUUCUAGGACCUGGACCUGGUUUCCUCUGGAAGGGCAAUCAUCCGUCUCUCCUCCCAGAUCAUCAACACAGCUCUCAGGAAUGAAAAGACUUUUCUCCUCUGAGGGCUGCGAAACUGAAACCAACUCCAGCCACUAGAGGACUCUCUCCUCUUUGGAAAAAGAAAACAAAAAUCUCAUCUCAACUAUGAGAUGGGAAUGACAAAGACACAGUCAAGCUGGAUAUAAAAUAAACUAGUGUGAUUUUUCAAAGGUGUGCCGGUGUCUGUGGAGAGGACUUUGCUCCUGUGGCGACAGGUUGCUAAGGUCACGGAAGAGGCUGACACAAAUGUCUGCUGCUGCACAACCGCACUUUGAAGUAACUACUCCAGUGGUCUUCAAUGGCAGUUCAAAGGAAGAAGGCUAAAGGCUGAUGGGAAAACAGUACAGGUCUCCAAGGCUGAUGGCCACAAACUCCUAGUGAAUCGAACCCUUAUAUUUGAAGAACUUCCUAUUUUGUCAUUUUUCUCCCUUAGCAGAUUAAAACAGAAGGAAUAAUGCAAUUGUAUGUUUAACAGUUAAUAUGAGUUAAUGAUAGUGUGUAUAUAAGCAUACAUAUAUCUACAUUUUGUUUUAUGCUGAGUAUCAAGCUUAGUAAGGACAUAAAGACAUCCCCAACCCUAAAAUGGACACCCCUAAAAUGCAUUGACCUGUGUUAGGUUUUUUUGUUGUUUGUUUGUUUGUUUUGUUUUGAAACAGGAUCUUGCUAUG